UCAAUCAUUCUUAACUAACCACUUUCCCCACAGGAACUAAUCUUUCUUUUUCCCACAGGUACUAAUCCUUUUUUCCACAGGUACUAACUUUCUAUUCCCGCAGGUACUAACCUUUCUUUUCCCCACAGGUAUUAACCACUUUUUCUGUUACUCAGGUGGGGCAGGGGUACGGAUAUCUUUCAAUCUGGGGUUUAAGCUCUGAUAAUUCGGUAAGAAUGUGACCUCUGAAACCGUUGUUUGGCGCCGUGUGUGUGUGUGUUCUGGUGUGUGCGUGUUUCCUCUGUGUGAGUCCCAGAUAAUAUGACACUACUCUGGAUCGGCACAGCAUCGCCAGGAUACCUGCAUCGGCACAUGACACAACCAAUGGUUACGCAGCAAGCACUGAGGACCAAUCCAUCACCUUGACAGCGUUGAGCCAUGCAAACAGCAAGUGAUUUGGCAAGGCCACUGCAAUGUCAUUGUGCAGGAUUUCGGUACGUACGUGCAGUGUACACAAUCAUUCAUCUCCUGCGCCCGGAUACAGAGGACAGUCAUCUAUCUCCUUUGGUAUGCACCAACUCCCGAGGCAAUCCUUAUUGAAAUGUCGGAACACAGAACAGUUUCUAUACUCCGUUCAGCUUUCCAUAAUAAUUAUGUACAUGUCACUGAACUCAUUUGGACUCGUGCGGAUUUCCUCCACUUCACACUGCACGCAUCCAAUCUGUGAGAGUAUGUCCAGUGCCCGUCAUUUCUCCGUGGCACAACUGGCGAAGUCUUCAGGACCACUCCUCAAAUUUCAUCCCUGUCCGGCAUUAUACCGUGCAAGUACGUAGAUUCGUCGCACACAACCUCUUUCAUUGGACAGUUGUAUGAGAUAUCAAGAUUUACCGGCACGACAACCUCCCGGGCUCCCCUGAACUGGACGUCCCAAUUUCAGAAUUAUCAGCACCCUCCCAUAUUAUUCUGCUCUCGGCAGCAUUUGCGAUCUCCGCUUUCUGUUGAAAGUGUCACUGUUUCACUAGCUCUACUAUUCAUCAAUCAACCUAAAUAUUGCAAUGUUAUCCAUGUGUAUGUAAUACUCAUGAUGAUACAGUGCCAGUGCCCAUCACUACUACAGCUCCUCGUGCUUGGACCCUUUACGUACACCUUCA